rnacentral:rRNA from 1 species
UACAGAGGUCCCAAGCGUUGUUCGGAUUCAUUGGGCGUAAAGGGCGCGUAGGCGGGUGCUCAAGUCCGGGGGUGAAAUCCUCCAGCUCAACUGGAGAACUGCCUCGGAUACUGGGUGUCUCGAGGGUGGUAGGGGUAUGCGGAACUAUCGGUGGAGCGGUGAAAUGCGUUGAUAUCGAUAGGAACUCCGGUGGCGAAGGCGGCAUACUGGACCACUUCUGACGCUGAGGCGCGAAAGCCAGGGGAGCGAACGGG